ACUCAAGUUGAGGUCAACAGAUGAAGAGAGAAGACACUGCUGGGAGGGGGGCCACAGGUGUCCACCCCAAAGACUAUCUGAUUAUAGUCCUAUCUCACACACAUGCACAUUUCCAUGCCCACGAGGGCCCUAGUCUUAGGCAUGGCCAUGACAAUACCAGUAAGAGCUCCUCUGUUUCUGCCUAAAUACAGAGAAGGAGUGUCUAUCUUAGAUAGGAGAUGAUAGGGGAUGACUCCGCCUAUUUGGAAGGAAUGAAGAUGUGCUUGUGGGACUUGUAUGUUGUCUUUGCAGCUUUAUGACUCAGUGGUUGAAUAAACUUGGUUUGAGCUUUUUCUAGUCGCCCGUGAGUUUUGUACAGAACCUAACAGUUGCCAAUGUUGACAGGAUUAACCAAUAUUUAUAGUUGAACUGGAGAGUUCAAAUCAGUAGAACAGGAGCCAGCACAAAACAAGGUUAUGGCAAUAGCGACCCCAGACCGUAUCUAGAUGCAUUGAAGGGAUUAUUCGACCGAGAACAGUGUGAGCCUUACCCCCUCUAACAGGGAGAAGAAAUUGCGACAAUGGUGUUCACUAUGACCCUGUCCUCCACCACUUCUACCUGAGACAUGAGUCCGAGCCAGCAAACGGUGUACAGCAUCCAGUCGAAGCUAUCAAUGCCUUUUCUCUCAGGAGCGCAGCAUGAGUCCUGAGACCGUCCACGUGGAGUGAGCAUGGAGAGAGAUCAUGUCAAAACUUAUCUCAUGUCGCUGGUGUACUGGUUGGAAAAUGGACAAGAAAGAAAUGGACAAUACAGAAUGGACCGUAAAGGUUGGUGGUGAGAAAUGUGUGUGCUUUGUCUGCUUGGGAAAAUCAGAUUAUUCCCCAGAUAUUGAAAUCGGGGACAUUAUCAAGGGCCAUCCACUUUGACAGGCAUGAGUUACAUGUGUGCCAUUGGGAGGAUGAACUGUAAAGCUAACUGAAGAAGAAAAUGAAGAGACGCCAGACGAAUGAGAGCCGGGAUGCAGGGGAGUGAUCACUGUUCCAGAUGAGGGACUGUUGGAAACUGACUAAUUGACUUGAGCACGUUUUAGUAUGUUUAUAACUAUAUAAGUGGCCUAGCAGUAGUGAUCAACGUGUUAUGGGUUAGAUGGAUUGAUCUAUGUGCAAAUGUAUUUGUGGCCGGAGGCAAAGUACAAAAGGGGCCUGUCUCUGAGACAGAAUGUUUCCAUACGGGUGAGAUAGGAGUCAUAUGAUAGAGCUAAUACUAUAGAUUGUGAACUAUUGCCUUUUAACAGGUCUCAUAGCUUCCCUGUUUUAAAUGAUUGUAUUCUCUCUAUGUUUUGCAUCAUGAUAUUCACUUGAGUAUGAAUGGGUUGCUUAUUCUCAAAUAACUCUUUGUGUAUGAGUCCGGAAAAUUUACAGUGGACUGAGGCUAGGUGCAAGAAUAUAUACUCCCUACUGAUAAGAAGACCGGGAGAUGUGUGAGGAGUUCAGGACUCGGGAUGGGACGAUAACACCACCUGCCUAGCCACAGAGAUUAAUUGUACAUACUAGACUCAGGAGGGGGAAGAGUUUGUAUUAGUAUUAUAUUAGUCAACUGCACAUAGCACGCAAAUAGAGGGCGAGGUGAGGAUGACAUCGCGUUGGAACACCUCCAGUAAACCUGCAGCCUGACGGUGGAAGUCUGCCUAUAAGCAUGAGGAGGUGUAUAGAGCCUUCAUUUUUGUGGACCCCAGCAGAAUAGUAUCCCAAAGGUCUAGAGUCAGGCUAAGGGAGAGUGGAAAUCGUCAUGUUGUCAAACUUUGGUUAUUGCCAUAAAUUAUUAUGCAUAUCUUAACGCAUUACUAAUACUUGUCAUAUUUCCUCCUCCCGAAGGAGGAAGAGAAAGUCACAAGCUCCAGCUGAAAUUCAUUAUCAGUUGUACAACAGGAAGGGUAAUGGCAGAUACGUAGGGGGGUGGGGGGUAAGAGUGUGUAUAGUGUGAUUAUAAGUUUGAGACCAGGGCCUAAAGCCAUGGAAGAAUAUUACAUAGUCAGAGGCCAUACGUCUUGGAGGUGUAAACAUACAAAUCAAUUGAGAAUAUUAAUCAUGUUUUCUCUUCUGUUCAUUUAUAAGUAAUUUCAAAGUUUAUAUCAUUUUGAACCGUAUGGAGCUACUAUUAAAAAAGGAGGGACUGA